GACAGAGGCCUCAAGCGUUAGGCGGAAUCACUGGGCUUAAAGCGUGUGUAGGCGGAUCGUUAAGUGUCUUGUGAAAUCCCACGGCUCACCCGUGGAACUGCUGGGCAUACUGGCGAUCUUGGGCCAACUAGGGGCAACUGGAACAAGCGGUGGAGCGGUGAAAUGCGUAGAUAUCAAGAGGAAUACCUGAGGUGAAGACGGGUUGCUAGGCCGACACUGACGCUGAAGCGCGAAAGCCAGGGGAGCAAACGGG
rnacentral:rRNA from 1 species